GAAUAUUGCACAAUGGGCGAAAGCCUGAUGCAGCAACGCCGCGUGAGCGAUGAAGGCCUUCGGGUCGUAAAGCUCUGUCCUCAAGGAAGAUAAUGACGGUACUUGAGGAGGAAGCCCCGGCUAACUACGUGCCAGCAGCCGCGGUAAUAGGUAGGGGGCUAGCGUUAUCCGGAAUUACUGGGCGUAAAGGGUGCGUAGGUGGUUUCUUAAGGCAGAGGUGAAAGGCUACGGCUCAACCGUAGUAAGCCUUUGAAACUGGGAAACUUGAGUGCAGGAGAGGAGAGUGGAAUUCCUAGUGUAGCGGUGAAAUGCGUAGAUAUUAGGAGGAACACCAGUUGCGAAGGCGGCUCUCUGGACUGUAACUGACACUGAGGCACGAAAGCGUGGGGAGCAAACA
rnacentral:rRNA from 1 species